GUUGGGCUGCCCGGAGUUGGCAGGAGGAGCAGACAGAAAUUGAGGUGUUCAGUUUGGCUGGAAAAAAAAAAUAAAAAAAGGUUCUACCUAUCUGAAUUUGUGACCAAGGCCCAGAGUUCCUAGAAACUCCCGGAGAUUCGAGGCGACUCACUUGGUACCUCUUAAGGCUUAUAUUUGAAAUUUGCCUCUGCCUCUACUGGCCAACGCAUCUCACGGAGAGGAGGCCAAAAUUAAUGAGAUGCACAAGGAAUGAAAAUGGACAGAUCUGAUGCUGAACCAUCCUCAGGAUAUGCUGCCAUGGUUUCUGCUG